UGGGGAAUAUUGCACAAUGGGCGCAAGCCUGAUGCAGCCAUGCCGCGUGUGUGAAGAAGGCCUUCGGGUUGUAAAGCACUUUCAGCGAGGAGGAAGGUGGUGAACUUAAUACGUUCAUCAAUUGACGUUACUCGCAGAAGAAGCACCGGCUAACUCCGUGCCAGCAGCCGCGGUAAUACGGAGGGUGCAAGCGUUAAUCGGAAUUACUGGGCGUAAAGCGCACGCAGGCGGUUUGUUAAGUCAGAUGUGAAAUCCCCGGGCUCAACCUGGGAACUGCAUUUGAAACUGGCAAGCUAGAGUCUCGUAGAGGGGGGUAGAAUUCCAGGUGUAGCGGUGAAAUGCGUAGAGAUCUGGAGGAAUACCGGUGGCGAAGGCGGCCCACUGGACGAAGACUGACGCUCAGGUGCGAAAAGCGUGGGGAGCAAAACAGGAUUAGAUACCCUGGUAGUCCACGCUGUAAAACGAUGUCGAUUUUGGAGGUUGUGCCCCUUGAGGCGUGGCUUCCGGAGCUAACGCGUUAAAUCGACCGCCUGGGGAGUACGGCCGCAAGGUU
rnacentral:rRNA from 1 species